AGUGAACGCUGGCGGUAGGCCUAACACAUGCAAGUCGAACGGCAGCACAGUAAGAGCUUGCUCUUACGGGUGGCGAGUGGCGGGCGGGUGAGGAAUACAUCGGAAUCUGCUUUUUCGUGGGGGAUAACGUAGGGAAACUUACGCUAAUACCGCAUACGACCUACGGGUGAAAGCAGGGGAUCUUCGGACCUUGCGCGAUUGAAUGAGCCGAUGUCGGAUUAGCUAGUUGGCGGGGUAAAGGCCCACCAAGGCGACGAUCCGUAGCUGGUCUGAGAGGAUGAUCAGCCACACUGGAACUGAGACACGGUCCAGACUCCUACGGGAGGCAGCAGUGGGGAAUAUUGGACAAUGGGCGCAAGCCUGAUCCAGCCAUACCGCGUGGGUGAAGAAGGCCUUCGGGUUGUAAAGCCCUUUUGUUGGGAAAGAAAAGCAGCAGGUUAAUACCCCGCUGUUCUGACGGUACCCAAAGAAUAAGCACCGGCUAACUUCGUG
rnacentral:rRNA from 1 species